AGUUUGAUUAUGGCUCAGAUUGAACGCUGGGCGGCAGGCUUAACACAUGCAAGUCGAGCGGUAGCAGGGAGAAAGCUUGCUUUCUCCGCUGACGAGCGGCGGACGGGUGAGUAAUGUCUGGGGAUCUGCCUGAUGGAGGGGGAUAACUACUGGAAACGGUAGCUAAUACCGCAUAACGUCGCAAGACCAAAGUGGGGGACCUUCGGGCCUCAUGCCAUCAGAUGAACCCAGAUGGGAUUAGCUAGUAGGUGAGGUAAUGGCUCACCUAGGCGACGAUCCCUAGCUGGUCUGAGAGGAUGACCAGCCACACUGGAACUGAGACACGGUCCAGACUCCUACGGGAGGCAGCAGUGGGGAAUAUUGCACAAUGGGCGCAAGCCUGAUGCAGCCAUGCCGCGUGUAUGAAGAAGGCCUUCGGGUUGUAAAGUACUUUCAGUAGGGAGGAAGGUGUGCGUGUUAAUAGCACGUGCAAUUGACGUUACCUACAGAAGAAGCACCGGCUAACUCCGUGCCAGCAGCCGCGGUAAUACGGAGGGUGCAAGCGUUAAUCGGAAUUACUGGGCGUAAAGCGCACGCAGGCGGUUUGUUAAGUUGGAUGUGAAAUCCCCGGGCUUAACCUGGGAACUGCAUCCAAGACUGGCAAGCUAGAGUCUCGUAGAGGGAGGUAGAAUUCCAGGUGUAGCGGUGAAAUGCGUAGAGAUCUGGAAAAAUACCGGUGGCGAAGGCGGCCUCCUGGACGAAGACUGACGCUCAGGUGCGAAAGCGUGGGGAGCAAACAGGAU
rnacentral:rRNA from 1 species